rnacentral:rRNA from 1 species
GACGAACGCUGGCGGCGUGCUUAACACAUGCAAGCCGAACGAUGAAGCUGGAGCUUGCUCUAGCGGAUUAGUGGCGAACGGGUGAGUAACACGUGAGCAACCUGCCCUUGACUCUGGGAUAACUGCGGGAAACUGUAGCUAAUACCGGAUACUUUCACCGGGGGGCAUCCUCUGGUGAUGAAAGAAUUUCGGUCAAGGAUGAGCUCGCGGCCUAUCAGCUUGUUGGUGAGGUAACGGCUCACCAAGGCGACGACGGGUAACCGGCCUGAGAGGGUGACCGGUCACACUGGGACUGAGACACGGCCCAGACUCCUACGGGAGGCAGCAGUGGGGAAUAUUGCACAAUGGGCGCAAGCCUGAUGCAGCAACGCCGCGUGAGGGAUGAAGGCCUUCGGGUUGUAAACCUCUUUUAGCAGGGAAGAAGCGAAAGUGACGGUACCUGCAGAAAAAGCACCUGCUAACUACGUGCCAGCAGCCGCCGUAA